UAAUCCCUUUUUUCAGAUGUGCUUCAAUGUGCAGAUCUGCAGAUUGUAUUCAACACUUUUAUGUCAAUGCUUUGUAAGGAUCCACCCGCUAGUCCAAACAACGGAAUCCAGCGGCCUGGUCGAAGGUUUAAUGCAUGUUCGGUCUUUUACUUGCGCUUCUGAAUUUAUCAGGAUCUAGUUUCAAUUUUAGUCUAACUCCGUGCUUGAUCUGACUCCAAUUUCAAGUGAUCAUUAAAUUUAGACAAUAUUUAUCAUUAAUCUGAUCACAGAUUUCGAUUGUACACUAAUUUAGAUAUUUGAUUAUUCCGAAAAUCCCAUACUUUCAAUUAUUCAUUCAUUAGGGACCAGGUAUCGCAUAGGAAUUACACUUCGGCCGAUUUUUUUAGUGAAUCCACGGACACAAACUCGUCAGUUCUGAACUUACUCAGAGGGUGCCCUGGUCCCUGGUCCCCCUCAGCUAGGGGUGCAGGAUACAGUUACUAUCAGUCAUGAAUCAGCGAUCAUUGAUAUCAUCCCAUGGCUGCCUGUCGUCUGUGUGCUCCAGCUUCUGUUACUGGUGUCAUGUGUCUAUGUGUGUUGGAGAGGAACAGGACUGUGGAAAGGUUUUGCAAGAACUAAUGACCUGCACCAGGACUGGAUUCACAAUAGUGUUCAGGGUAAUAUAAAGUUGGGUCAUAUUUGGAUGAAACAAGAUGAUUGGACUCUGGCUGAAGUUAUUUAUACACCGCUAAAUAAUAUUUUUUGAAUAAUCAUUUCCAAUUUCCUUUAAAUAUCUAACAUCAUCUUUAGUCUUCAUACACAUUAUAUUGCUUUCAUUGAAUUAUAUCACAUUGAAUGUUAAAAUUAAAAACAAAGCUAUGAAUGAACUUUUCUUCACCUAUGUGUAAAAUACUCUUUAACGUAAGCACAUGUAUUGCUUAGCAUCACCUGUGCGGUUGUCUUGUAGCUCUGAUAUUAUAUUGUUGUGAUUAUAUAUGAAAUCAUAAAGCACCUCUUUCAGACUAAACUUUUAACAACAUUAUUUUGAUGGAUACUGUUAUUAGUGUGAAAAAAGCAAAAAGCAGUUGCACUCUAAUUAGAAUAAUACUCUUAAUAAAGUUCAUACAAACAAAAUAAAAUGAAAAAAAUAGUCUUUUGGAUGCUUGUGGGUGUCUGAAGGCAACCACUUUAUAAGCUUUAUAUUCGACAAA